AAUUAAAAAGUAUAAUUAACAGUUUUGAACACUUUUCGAGUCAGCGAGCUUGGUUGAGGUUCAGUUUUUGGUUCUCUUUGCUUUGAAUUUGACCGCAUUCUUUGAUGCUAAUAUGUGCGUAGUACUUCACUGCUUCAUCACUUGCCUUUUUAUUUAGGGAGUUAUCCAUGGUAGUUGGGUGUACGUCCACUCUAUUGUUGCCCUUUAUAAUAGGCUGUAUAAAUAACUGUGUUACUUGCCGAUAAUAUUUACUUAAUUUUUUUAUGCAACAGCAGCAAAUUUAACACUAAAUGAUUUUUGACGAUGUUGGGCAACUAAAAUUUUCUAUCAACAAUUUGUGAGAUUGCCCAUCAUUUUAAGCUUCUUAGCUAUCCUUCAAGCAAUGAAUGCUCAAGCUGUCAGUUUUCCAAAAAAUUUAUGAACAUUUGUAGUAGUAAGUAGUGCGCACUCGCAUAGUGCGGGCGAAGUAACACUUGUCGAUGAGGAAUCCUUUAAAGAUCGAGGGACUGUCUUAAGAUGGCACCGCCCCCCCGUUUGAGGUGGAUCCUAACCAAUUUCAAUGUUUUAAAUCAAAAUCCAGGAAUCGACAUAACUGGUUUCGAAUAAGUCAAUGUACCUACUGAAAUUAAGAAUGAAGCCCUAAAAAGAGUUACGUCAAAGAAACUAUAACUUUAACAAGCACAGAGAACAAUUUCACCAGUUAUAAGUGAUAGCCACACGGAUAACAAAAGUGAAGGUGAAGCUUCGGCUCUACUUUGGAAAACGCCUCAUAUUUUAUAGUUUUCUUGUUGGUUGAAGGAAAGCUUCGA